UACGUAGGGGGCAAGCGUUGUCCGGAAUCAUUGGGCGUAAAGCGCGCGUAGGCGGCCCGGUAAGUCCGCUGUGAAAGCCCAGGGCUCAACCCUGGAAAGCCGGUGGAUACUGCCGGGCUAGAGUCCGGAAGAGGCGAGUGGAAUUCCUGGUGUAGCGGUGGAAUGCGCAGAUAUCAGGAGGAACACCAAUAGCGAAGGCAGCUCGCUGGGACGGUACUGACGCUGAGGUGCGAAAGCGUGGGGAGCAAACAGG
rnacentral:rRNA from 1 species